rnacentral:tRNA from 1 species
GGAGAUGUAGUUCAGUGGUACAGCACUUGGCUAGAAGAUAAGAGGCUCUGGGUUCAAUCCCAGCAUCCACU